UGUGGUCAGCUCCUCUCAAAUGAAUCAGCUUUCCAGUGUUUGGUGGCAUCACAGGUGUGAUAAAUAUCUACACUUGUGGUUUUCUGCCGAGCAACCUUCAGCAAUGGAGGUUCACUGGGGCUCAUAAAUGUCUCUCCUCAGCGAAGACAGCUUUGUGAAUGUUUGAUCUCAAAUCAGGUAGGACUACCCGCUGAACUUAA
rnacentral:misc_RNA from 1 species